rnacentral:lncRNA from 1 species
CAACGGCAACCGCAAGGACUGCUUUCUCCCCCUCUCUGCUCCUCACCGAAACCUCCUCCCUUUUCAACUCCGAUUCAGACGAAACGCAACAAGGGCAUCGACGACGCGCCACUACUAGUAAGAACCUCUCCUCUUCCACAUCGUUUAUUUAUUUUAAGAAACAAGUAAAAGAAAACAAAAAAACAGAACCAAAUAAAAAAAACAACAAGGGUGACGUGGGGCGGAAGCGGUUGCUGCGGUGCCAAGGCUAGGAAGAAGGCUGCUGUUGAAGACUCUAGGUUUCCAAAUUUUUCAGUUUCGGGCUGAUUUGGAUUGUAGGGUAAUCGGGCUACAUCCAUGUAAAAAUGGACUAUUUACUAUUUUAUUUGGGCUUAUUUUUGGUUUGUAAUAUGGAUAUUAUUUGAAUUUGUUCUGUUUUCUGCUUAUGCGGGCCCGGGCCCAAAAUUGAGUAUUAUAGUGUUGAUUGAGCUAUAGCCCGUUCGAUAUUAAUAUUGUUGUUAAUGUAAGAAAAUAUAAGUUUGAGUGUUCUAAAGUGUAUUAUACUUUAGAAAAAGUUAUAAAUAAUUCUAAAUUUAAUAUGAAAGAGCAAAAAUUAUAACAAACAAAAAAAUAGUUGUGGGUGUUAGUGAAUGAAUAAAGGUAGGUGAUGGGAAUUGAAAGAGGUGUCGAGAGAGAGUGAAGAAUGAAAGUCAGUAAAUGGACGGUGGGUUCAAUUAAUACCCCUCUCCCUGUUUUUG